rnacentral:rRNA from 2 species
UACGAAGGAUGCAAGCGUUAUCCGGAUUUAUUGGGUUUAAAGGGUGCGUAGGCGGACUUAUAAGUCAGUGGUGAAAUCUCGAUGCUUAACAUCGAACGUGCCAUUGAUACUGUAGGUCUUGAGUACAGAUGCCGUUGGCGGAAUGUGUCAUGUAGCGGUGAAAUGCAUAGAUAUGACACAGAACACCGAUUGCGAAGGCAGCUGACGAAACUGUAACUGACGCUGAGGCACGAAAGCGUGGGGAUCAAACAGG